rnacentral:rRNA from 1 species
AGAGUUUGAUUCUGGCUCAGGAUGAACGCUAGCGGCAGGCCUAACACAUGCAAGUCGCGGGGCAGCACGGGUAGCAAUACCUGGUGGCGACCGGCGCACGGGUGCGUAACGCGUAUGCAACCUGCCCCCAUCAGGGGGAAUAGCCCGCCGAAAGGCGGAUUAAUGCCCCAUAGGCCCAGGGCGCCGCAUGGCGCUAUGGGGUAAAGCUCCGGCGGGAUGGGGAUGGGCAUGCGUGCCAUUAGCUAGUUGGGGCGGUAACGGCGCACCAAGGCGACGAUGGCUAGGGGGUCUGAGAGGAUGGUCCCCCACACUGGUACUGAGACACGGACCAGACUCCUACGGGAGGCAGCAGUGAGGAAUAUUGGUCAAUGGGCGGAAGCCUGAACCAGCCAAUGCCGCGUGCAGGAUGACGGCCCUACGGGUUGUAAACUGCUUUUCCCCGGGAAGAAUAAGCCCCUCGUGAGGGGUGAUGCCGGUACCGGGGAAUAAGGAUCGGCUAACUCCGUGCCAGCCGCCGC